CCUACGGGAGGCAGCAGUGGGGAAUAUUGGGCAAUGGGCGCAAGCCUGACCCAGCAACGCCGCGUGAAGGAAGAAGGCUUUCGGGUUGUAAACUUCUUUUGGCAGGGACGAAGCAAGUGACGGUACCUGACGAAUCAGCCACGGCUAACUACGUGCCAGCAGCCGCGGUAAUACGUAGGUGGCAAGCGUUAGCCGGAUGUACUGGGUGUAAAGGGCGUGUAGGCGGGAAUGCAAGUCAGAUGUGAAAACGAUGGGCUCAACCCAUAGACUGCAGUGGAAACUGGAUUUCUUGAGUGCUGGAGAGGCAAGCGGAAUUCCGUGGGUAGCGGUGAAAUGCGUAGAUAUAAGGAGGAACACCAGUGGCGAAGGCGGAUUGCUGGACAGUAACUGACGCUGAGGCGCGAAAGCGUGGGGAGCAAACAGGAUUAGAUACCCGGGUAGUC
rnacentral:rRNA from 1 species